UUCGUGGUCGAGUGGUAGGGACACUUGCCUCCCACGCUCGAGUCCCGGGUUCAAUCCUCGGAUUUUUAUAAA